UGUUCAAACUUUGUAAACAAGUCUUUUCUUAUUAUUAUUAAUUUUUUUUUUUUUUUUUUUUUUUUUUUUUUUUUUUAAGAAACAGUCUACAUAUAAUUCAUUUUGAAUUUGACCCAUAAAGGUUAAGCGAAAAACCUCCACUGUGCAUGCUUGAAUUCUUUUUGAAGUGGGGAAAAUAGCUAACAGUGUUAUGAAUGUAAUGAAUCAGAGCUCAGAGUCAGUAAAAUGAAAGUUUUAGUGGAGGUAUGAACGAACCACUUUUUUAACUCUUUUUGCUGUUGUUGUUGUUUAAUGCUGUUAAGGCAGGUCAGCAAGAUGGAUUUAAAGUGACUCUGAACUUAUAAAACAGGGUUGUUGUUUUUAUAUAUAUAUAUAUAUAUAUAUAUAUAUAUAUAUAUAUAUAUAUAUAUAUAUAUAUAUAUAUAUAUAUAUAUAUAUAAAUAAUUAAACCCAGUUUUUUCCUUCUUUUAAGAAAUGGGUAAUUAAAGUCUGGAAAAUCCACGUUAGGACUGAACAUGACCAGCAAGUAUUCUGAUAUGCAAAUACUGGCCAUGCAACACUGGCUCACCAGGAAGAUCGGUCACAUGUAGGGUCGCUGGCAACUACAGUUCGAGUAUUCAUAGACUCUUGUUUUAAGGCAUGUUUCCAUUUGUUUUACUGUUGUCUAAUGACUGUUUGGCUAUAAGUAAUCACAGUAAGAAAAAAAAAAAAAAUCAUGUUUUUUCUAAAGGCGUUUAGUGUACGGAUGGAACCAGUAGAUGGUGUCAUUUCUUAAUACAUUUCAGAAAAGGUUUGAGGGUAUACACAUAGCUGACUGUUUCUGUCUGACUAAAGAUAAAGUUUGCAUUUUUUAUUUUGUUUUACGUGUAUAUAUAUUAUAAAUUGAGCUGGCCUUUUAAUAAAUAAAUAAAAGCGGCAGUACCUACCUUCUAUUAGAUCGAGAGGUUAGUUCUUGAAGGCAGCUCACAUAAUAUUUUGUAAUGAUGGUUGGGCCGUGCACUACUCCCCAGACCUCACCCCCACCCCCACCCCCACCCCCACGCAAUAACACACACACACACAAUUGCAAUGGAUAUAAACUGGGACAUGUUCUAGUAUUGAAAUGACUGACUAUCAACUGGUGUCUUAUCAAAAAAAAGUUACAUAUUGCAGCUUUAAUAUUUCAUGGCUGCAUACGGUAUAUUUUAUUUGUUAUAUUUUAUUAUAUAUUUUAUUGUGUGUGUGUGUAACCUUGAGGCUGAUGUUCAAUAGUCUCUGUUUUGUUUCUGUGUCAUUUAUUCGUUCCUUUUAAACACCAUACAUCCCAUGAAGUCUGAGAUCAUUUGUACAUGUCGGACACCAAAACCAUUCACGAAACAUCUGUGUCCGUAGAGACGCAUAGCAGACUGUUUCUGUUGCAUGUCAGUUUAUUAAGAGGAGUAGAAUAUGUUUUUUUGGGUGUUUUUUUUUUUUUUUUUUUUUUUUAAUUAAAAAAAGGUAAACCAUGCAGGUCUAAAUAAGUAUUAUGAUUUGUGACUCUGUUGCUUCUUCUCAUUACUGCCAUUUGUUUGUUUGUUUGUUUGUUUGUUUGUUUGGGGGUCAGUUCUUAAAGUCAAUCUCCUUUAGCGCAGGCGCAUAAAAGUUGUUUUGCACUUGUUGUAUUAUCCAUGUGAUAAUGAGUGACCUGACAUUUCAGUACUACGUUUUUUGGUUUUGUGUGUGUCUUUUUUUUUUUUUUUUUUUUUGCCCCCCGUUUCAUUUUGAGGUAUUGAUUGUGCUUCUUAACCUGGUGAAUUAUAUUUUUCCCUUUGUAAAUGUUGCAUUUUGCUGUAUGUUCGCCAUGUUUGUCUCCUAACUACUUUUAUUUAAAUGUCAUACUUUACAGAUGCAGUGUCUACAUUUAAGCAGUCCCUCCAGGAUUUCUCCGCCAUUUUUCAGAAUUACCGCCGAUUUUCCGCAGAUUUGGGCCAAGACGCGUCAUGUGACAUCAUCACAACGCGCAUUCAGUCAAAGCCCUCUUCGAUUCACGUGCAUCGAACAAGAGUAUGGCUGAAAGGUCUCAUUUACCAACAAACGUCACUGCGAAAGACCGUGCAAAACAAUUUCAUGCUACUGCAGUUUCACCAAUUCAAGUAGUUUUCCACAACAAAAGCACAGAAAACUCCACAAGUUGCAUCUCGAAUUUUGAAAAAAGUCACAGCAAAAUCAAGCAUUUUUGGUCACAACAAUCACAAAAAAAAACUCAGAAAUCCUGUACGGACUGUUUUAAGGUGCGUGACAAAUGAAGCAUCGACAUAUGUCGUGGUUAGGUGUUGUGCCACCACGAGCUUCCAGACCAGCUUAAUGCGCCUCGGCACAGAUUCUACAUACCGAUGAACACCAUUUUCCAAAAUACGUUCCAUGUUGCUUCGAUAUCUCCCAUAUUGAAUUGGUCUGUUGAAUGCAGAGGCCAUUACAUCAUUUUCAUACUCCUCAAACUGUUCAGUGAGCUCCUGUGGAUGUGGGAGAAGUCAUCCUAAGACUCCCAUCAGGAUGGAAAUGUUUCAUUGUAGGAUCAAGACGUUCAGUCAGAACACUUUUGCAUUUACUUGCAGUAAACUUUCUCUGUAAGGGAGCAACUGGAUACAAACCAUACCAGCAAAAUCUAUAAAUGGCCCUCAGCAUAACAGAACCACGGUUUCUCUUUUCAUAUGUCACCCAUCUGUAAACUGUUCAACAUCAUAAGCUCUGCUUUGCUCUGAAUAGGAGGUCUGCCAGAAGUUUGGAUUUCAUUGGUAGACAAAUACAUCAUCUAGGAGUAGGGAAAACAUUAGAUAAAAGCGGGCAGUGGGUCUCUGGGACUAGGGUCGAGAACCACUGACAUAAUCCCUUUGUCUGACUGCGUUAUUACAGACGCCCCUUCAUAUGCCAGAGUUGUCUUAAAUGUACUAAGGAAAAUGCCAAGGUCCCCAAACAAAUCUUAAUAUAUUUGUCUCCACCUUUUCUUCUGGUUCUUCUCUUUAACCAUCAGUAUGCACAUGUUUCUUGCAUUUGCUCUGUUUGUCCUGGAUGGAUCACCUCAUUAAUUUAUUGUAAUAAGGUAUCAAACAGGAUUUCUCUGCAUACAGUAUUUUCAGUAGCAUAUGUUUUCGAAUAAGCUGCAUAGAUAAUAGUCUCAGAGCCACUUGAAAUGUCAGAGAGGUAUUGAAGGAAGUCAUGUGGAGCCAUUUUGGCAAAUGAAUCAAAAUGGACCAUGUUUUAAAAUGAGCCGAUGACACGAAAUAACCUGAAAAUGUUUGUUGAAACUUGGUCAUAUAGCAUUAUAAAUAAAUUGUAACAUAUUCUUUUAAAUAAAGAAAUUUAAUGAG
ensembl:lncRNA